rnacentral:rRNA from 1 species
CCUACGGGAGGCAGCAGUGGGGAAUAUUGCGCAAUGGGCGAAAGCCUGACGCAGCGACGCCGCGUGAGGGAUGAAGGUCUUCGGAUCGUAAACCUCUGUCAGCAGGGAAGAACGGUCACUGUGCUAAUCAGCAGUGAAUUGACGGUACCUGCAAAGGAAGCACCGGCUAACUCCGUGACAGCCGCCGCGGUAAUACGGAGGGUGCGAGCGUUAAUCGGAAUUACUGGGCGUAAAGCGCUCGUAGGCGGGAUGUCAAGUCAAGGGUGAAAUCCCCGCGCUCAACGUGUGAACUGCAUUUGAAACUGGCAAACUGGAGUGUGUGAGAGGAUAGUGGAAUGCCAGGUGUAGGAGUGAAAUGCGUAGAUAUCUGGAGGAACAUCAGUGGCGAAGGCGACUAUCUGGCACAUAACUGACGCUGAGGAGCGAAAGCGUGGGUAGCAAACAGGAUUAGAUACCCGAGUAGUC